rnacentral:rRNA from 1 species
AUUGAACGCUGGCGGCAGGCCUAACACAUGCAAGUCGAACGAGUGGCGGACGGGUGAGUAAUGUCUGGGAAACUGCCUGAUGGAGGGGGAUAACUACUGGAAAGGGUAGCUAAUACCGCAUACCAUCGGAUGUGCCCAGAUGGGAUUAGCUAGUUGGGGGGGUAAAAGCUCACCAAGGCGACGAUCCCUAGCUGGUUUGAGAGGAUGACCAUCCACACUGGAACUGAGACAAGGGCCAGACUCCUACGGGAGUCAGCAGUGGGGAAUAUUGCACAAUGGGGGCAACCCUGAUGCAGCCAUCCCGCGUGUAUGAUGAAGGCCUUCGGGUUGUAAAGUACUUUCAGCGGAGAAGCGUUACCCGCAGAAGAAGCACCGGCUAACUCCGUGCCAGCAGCCGCGGUAAUUC